ACCUAAAUUGUCCUUGCAAAUUAUUUAGAAAUAUGUCAUUUCCUAGAUCAGUCAAAUGAACAUCAUCUUCCUUUAAAAAAGUACUAUUAUGAAGAAUAUCUGGAUACUUUAUAUAAUGUCCCCCAUUCUCUAACACGAAUGAUGCAAUGGCACUAUUUAUCCUAAUUCUGCAUGCCAUCAUGCUUUCCUGACUUUUUGAAUGACGCCAAUUUGUUCUGGGUAAAAUCUGAGAGCAGACAAUCGAACUAUUAGGUAGAUACGUUUGUACCUUCUCCAAGGUGGCCUUGAUUUCAUUCCAUAAAAACCCUAAUUUUGUCUUCCCCUAAUCAUUUCCAGCAAUAUGAAGGACAAGAUAUUUCGGCGCUUUUCAUAUUUCAUCAGUCUUUUUAUUGUCGAUUCCAAAUCUUUUAAACCCAUGCCACCAUAGUACCCUUGCCACCAAAUUUUAACUCCUAUUCCAUGAAGACCUAAAUUUACACCACCUGUUCUACUUUUUGCGUGUACAAAUACAUUUCUUAUCAAAAAUGAGCCUACUAUCCAUACUGACACUUCUUGGCCUACAAUUUGAUACAUGUAUGUAUUGACAUGAAAUAUAUUAAAUUGACCAUCAAAUUCAACGAAAUUUAUUCAAAAUUGUGGUAUUCGUAUAUAACUUUUGAAAUUAUCAGAACUCCAACGACCCAUUACUUUAAUUUUCUCGUCAGAAAAACCAAGCAUAGUUGCUGAAGUAGCACUACCGAUUCUAAAUGA
rnacentral:lncRNA from 1 species